rnacentral:misc_RNA from 1 species
GAAAUGCGAUAAGUAAUGUGAAUUGCAGAAUUCAGUGAAUCAUCGAAUCUUUGAACGCACAUUGCGCCUUUUGGUAUUCCGAAAGGCAUGCCUGUUUGAGUGUCAUAUCACCUCUCAUAUCUAGUUUUCUAUAUAUGAGCUUUGGACGUUGCCAGCAAUGGCUCGUCUUAAAUGACUAAGUGGAAUGCGUAAUAAGUUUUCGCUCCCUCCACUCUAAUAACUUUUAUGUUAGACCUCAAAUCAGGUAGGACUACCCGCUGAACUUAA